CGGUGGGUUCCCGAGCGGCAAAAGGGAGCGGGCUGGCAAAUCUGCCGUCAUCGACUUCGAAGGUUCGAAUCGCUUCCCCACCAC
rnacentral:tRNA from 1 species